rnacentral:rRNA from 1 species
UACGUAGGGAGCAAGCGUUGUCCGGAUUUACUGGGUGUAAAGGGUGCGUAGGCGGCCCUGCAAGUCAGAAGUGAAAUCCAUGGGCUUAACCCGUGAACUGCUUUUGAAACUGUAGGGCUUGAGUGAAGUAGAGGCAGGCGGAAUUCCCGGUGUAGCGGUGAAAUGCGUAGAUAUCAGGAGGAACACCGGUGGCGAAGGCGGCCUGCUGGACUGCAACUGACGUUGAGGCCCGAAAGCAUGGGUAGCGAACAGG